CCUCCAGUGACUGUUCCUCCUGUAAAGCCACCUGUUGAUCUCCCUCCAAUUGCAAAGCCACCCAUUACAGUUCCACCAGUGACUGUUCCUCCUGUGAAUCCACCUGUUGAUCUCCCUCCGGUGACUGUUCCUCCUGUGAAGCCACCAGUUGAGCUCCCUCCAAUUGCAAAGCCACCCAUUACAGUCCCACCAGUGACUGUUCCUCCUGUGAAGCCACCAGUUGACCUCCCCCCAAUUGCAAAACCGCCCAUCACAGUCCCUCCAGUGACCCUCCCAGUCCCUCCAGUUACUGUCCCUCCAGUGACUGUUCCUCCUGUAAAGCCACCAGUUGACCUCCCUCCAAUUGCAAAACCACCCAUCACAGUCCCACCAGUGACUGUUCCUCCUGUGAAGCCACCAGUUGACCUCCCUCCAAUUGCAAAACCACCCAUCACAGUCCCUCCGGUGACCGUCCCAGUCCCUCCAGUUACUGUUCCUCCCGUAAAGCCACCAGUUGACCUCCCUCCAAUUGCAAAACCACCCAUCACAGUCCCACCAGUGACCGUCCCAGUCCCACCAGUGACUGUUCCUCCUGUGAAACCACCUAU
rnacentral:lncRNA from 1 species